UGAAAGAGUUUUCGGACAAUGGAUGUAGAGGAAAGUGGCGGACGGGUGAGUAACGCGUAAGGAACCUACCUAUUAGAGGGGAACAACAAUGAGAAAUCAUUGCUAAUACCGCAUAUGCCAUAACUACCGCAUGGUAGAAGUGGGAAAGGAGUAAUCCGCUGAUAGAUGGCCUUGCGUCUGAUUAGUUAGUUGGUGGGGUAACGGCCUACCAAGACGACGAUCAGUAGCCGGACUGAGAGGUUGAACGGCCACAUUGGGACUGAGAUACGGCCCAGACUCC
rnacentral:rRNA from 1 species